AGUGGAAUAGCAGGGUCAAAUGGUGUUUUCAUUCCCAAUUUUCUAAGGAAUCUCCAUACUGCUUUCAAGAUUGGUUGCACCAAUUUGCAGUCCUGCCAGCAAU
rnacentral:pre_miRNA from 1 species